rnacentral:rRNA from 1 species
UACAGAGGGGGCAAGCGUUGUUCGGAAUUACUGGGCGUAAAGGGCGCGUAGGCGGCCUGCUAAGUCGAACGGGAAAUCCCUGGGCUCAACCCAGGAACUGCGUCCGAUACUGGUUGGCUUGAAUCCGGGAGAGGGGUGUAGAAUUCCCGGUGUAGUGGUGGAAUGCGUAGAUAUCGGGGGGAAUACCAGUGGCGAAAGCGGCACCCUCGCGUUAGCCUGACGCUCAUGUGCGAAAGCGUGGGGAGCGAACGGG